AGAGUUUGAUCCUGGCUCAGAACGAACGCUGGCGGCGUGGCUAAGGCAUGCAAGUCGUACGGGACGUUUUUGGUAGCAAUACUUGAGACGUUCAGUGGCGAACGGGUGAGUAACGCAUGGGUAACGUACCUUGUGCACAGGGAUAGCGGCGCCCCGCAAGGGGCUUUAGCGAAAGUGCCAUUAAUACCUGAUGACAUCUGGGGGUCGCAUGGCUUCCAGAUCAAACGAUGGGGACCUUUCGGGGCCUGUCGGCAUGAGAUCGGCCCAUGUCCUAUCAGCUAGUUGGUGAGGUAACGGCUCACCAAGGCGAUGACGGGUAGCCGGCGUGAGAGCGCGACCGGCCACAUCGGGACUGAGACACUGCCCGGACACCUACGGGUGGCUGCAGCAACGAAUAUUCCGCAAUGGGCGAAAGCCUGACGGAGCGACGCCGCGUGGAGGACGAAGUCUUUCGGGAUGUAAACUCUAAUGGUAUGCUAGGAAGCAAGGGGACCUAAUACGUCUCUGAGUUGACCCGCAUACGAAAGGGGCGGCUAACUCCGUGCCAGCAGCCGCGGUAAGACGGAGGCCCCGAGCGUUGUUCGGAAUUACUGGGCUUAAAGCGCGUGUAGGCGGAACGGUAAGUACUUUGUGAAAGCCCCGGCUUCAACCCGGGAAUUGCUUGGUAUACUGCCGUUCUUGAGGCAGGUAGGGGUCACUGGAACCUUAGGUGGAGCGGUGAAAUGCGUAGAUAUCUAAGGGAACGCCUGUGGCGAAAGCGGGUGACUGGGCCUGUCCUGACGCUGAGACGCGAAAGCGUAGGGAGCAAACGGGAUUAGAUACCCCGGUAGUCUACGCUGUAAACGAUGCGCACUAGGUUCGAGAGUCUCUGACGAUUUUCGAGCCGAAACAAAAGCGUUAAGUGCGCCGCCUGGGGAGUACGGCCGCAAGGCUAAAACUCAAAGGAAUUGACGGGGGCUCA
rnacentral:rRNA from 1 species